rfam:Ornithorhynchus anatinus chromosome 2, whole genome shotgun sequence.
CCCCUCUCAGGGUCGCAUCUGGAGAGUUUCCAGUCCUCUACCAGUCUCGGCUACAAGAGGGAGUCAAGCAGAAGCCUACCCAUUCCACUCCUACCUUGGGCAGUGGCUAGCGAGUGGAAGGCAAUCUGCUACAAGU